rnacentral:rRNA from 1 species
GAAGCUGGAAUUGCUAGUAAUGGCAGGUCAGCAUACUGCCGUGAAUACGUUCCCGGGCCUUGUACACACCGCCCGUCACACCAUGAGAGUUGGGAGUACCCGAAGCCUGUGAGCUAACUUAUAGAGGCAGCAGUCGAAGGUAGAAUCAAUGAUUGGGGUGAAGUCGUAACAAGGUAGC